AACGGGCCGCGGCGGAGACGGAGGGGAAGAGCAGGCGGCCGGCGGGGCGGAGGUUCGUGGCGUUCACGGAGGAGAAGGCGAGGGAGCUGCGGAUGCGGACCAUGGAGACGGAGGCGUUCCACGACGUCAUGUACCACUCCGCCAUCGCCUCCCGCCUCGCCUCCGACCUCCCUCGCCGACCCCCCGCCACCAGGCUCUGAGCCCCAAUCCGUCGAUUUCAAUCUGUCUCUAAUAUUUCGGCCCCCUUGUUUUCGUAUAUGGACAUCAAUCAUUGUAUCAUAUCAGCGACCGAAUGAACAAAAAUAAUGUUUUCAUUCGGGGUUAUUUAU
rnacentral:lncRNA from 1 species